rnacentral:rRNA from 1 species
UACGUAGGGUGCGAGCGUUGUCCGGAAUUAUUGGGCGUAAAGAGCUUGUAGGCGGUCUGUCGCGUCUGCUGUGAAAAUCCGGGGCUCAACCCCGGACUUGCAGUGGGUACGGGCAGACUAGAGUGUGGUAGGGGAGACUGGAAUUCCUGGUGUAGCGGUGAAAUGCGCAGAUAUCGAGAGGAACACCGGUGGCGAAGGCGGCUAUCUGGACAGUGACUGACGCUGAGACGCGAAAGCGUGGGGAGCAAACAGG